rnacentral:rRNA from 1 species
GAUGAACGCUGGCGGCGUGCCUAAUACAUGCAAGUCGAGCGAACAGACGAGGAGCUUGCUCCUCUGACGUUAGCGGCGGACGGGUGAGUAACACGUGGAUAACCUACCUAUAAGACUGGGAUAACUUCGGGAAACCGGAGCUAAUACCGGAUAAUAUAUUGAACCGCAUGGUUCAAUAGUGAAAGACGGUUUUGCUGUCACUUAUAGAUGGAUCCGCGCCGCAUUAGCUAGUUGGUAAGGUAACGGCUUACCAAGGCAACGAUGCGUAGCCGACCUGAGAGGGUGGUCGGCCACACUGGAACUGAGACACGGUCCAGACUCCUACGGGAGGCAGCAGUAGGGAAUCUUCCGCCAUGGGCGAAAGCCUGACGGAGCAACGCCGCGUGAGUGAUGAAGGUCUUCGGAUCGUAAAGCUCUGUUAUUAGGGAAGAACAAAUGUGUAAGUAACUAUGCACGUCUUGACGGUACCUAAUCAGAAAGCCACGGCUAACUACGUG